UGGGGAAUCUUGCGCAAUGGGCGAAAGCCUGACGCAGCAACGCCGCGUGCGGGAUGAAGGCCCUCGGGUUGUAAACCGCUUUCAGUGGGGACGAACCAAGACGGUACCCACAGAAGAAGCCCCGGCCAACUACGUGCCAGCAGCCGCGGUAACACGUAGGGGGCAAGCGUUGUCCGGAUUUAUUGGGCGUAAAGAGCUCGUAGGCGGUUCGAUAAGUCGGGUGUGAAACCUCCAGGCUCAACCUGGAGACGCCACCCGAUACUGUCGUGACUAGAGUCCAGUAGGGGAGCGUGGAAUUCCUGGUGUAGCGGUGAAAUGCGCAGAUAUCAGGAGGAACACCAGCGGCGAAGGCGGCGCUCUGGGCUGGCACUGACGCUGAGGAGCGAAAGCGUGGGGAGCGAACAGGAUUAGAUACCCCCGUAGUCC
rnacentral:rRNA from 1 species